GAGCGAGAGAGAGAAGGCUUGGAGUGGAAGUGUAUGUGGAAACAGAUUACCUUACAGUUCAUACCCCUAUGGGAUCUGGAGACCUCGAAAUCAACGGAGUACUCUAUUCAAAAGGUCAUCAUCAUCAUCUCCUACCAGCGCCUUUAUGAGCAACAAUAGCUUGAGCUUCCAAAGGCAGGUCAACAGAAACUGAAGCAGAAGCCAUAGGAGCAACCAGAGCUAAAAUACUUUUAUCCACAGCAAGAGAACAGAGUUGACAGAGUGGCAGUUCCCUUCCACAACCAGCAGAGGUCAGCAAUGCUGCACUUGAACGGCACAGAGCUGCAGACUCUCCUGCUAUCCUUCCUACAGCACUGUCUGAAUGGCACAGGUUUUCUGGGCCCAGUACUCCCUCAUAACUACACUACCCAGCAGGCCGUUCUCCCAGUGGGCGGAGCUAUACCUAAGGCUCAAGCUCAGGGAUUUGUGUAUAUUCUACUUAUGGUAGGUAUGUUUAGUUUCUUCACGUUUGGUAUCAUGCUGAGCUACAUCCGCUCCAAGAAGCUGGAGAGCUCCCAUGAUCCGUAUCACCAGUACAUUGCUCACGACUGGACCAAAGGACUCACCCUCCCACGGGCUGUCACACAGGCACUGCAUGGGGCAGACACACGUAUUGGAGACAACGGGAAGAACCCCAUGGUCAUCUGCAACCCUGCUGCAUUGGAGCUCCCAGGAUAGGUUG